rnacentral:misc_RNA from 1 species
AAGUCGUAACAAGGUUUCCGUAGGUGAACCUGCGGAAGGAUCAUUACCGAAAACAAACGCCCCCGCGUCGCCGUCGCAAUUCAAACCUGCGGCGCGCGCGGGGACGGACCCCUGUGAACGCGUUUCCGUCUUUGGUGCCCGCACCACCCUCCACUUCGGUGGUGGUGGGCGCGGCCCAAUCUUUUUCAUUUACCCCAUCUCUUCUGAAUGCUGACUGAAGUAAAGUCGAGGUCGUCCGCGAUCAACUCGUUGCUCGCGUGCCGGCUUUCGGCGUGGUCAACGCACCAUCCUCCGGGACGGGCUUGACGACAACAAACAUGUGACAACUUUUAACAACGGAUAUCUUGGUUCAC